UGGGGAAUAUUGGACAAUGGACCAAGAGUCUGAUCCAGCAAUUCUGUGUGCACGAUGAAGUUUUUCGAAAUGUAAAGUGCUUUCAGUUGGGAAGAAAGAAAUGACGGUACCAACAGAAGAAGUGACGGCUAAAUACGUGCCAGCAGCCGCGGUAAUACGUAUGUCACGAGCGUUAUCCGGAUUUAUUGGGCGUAAAGCGCGUCUAGGUGGUUAUAUAAGUCUGAUGUGAAAAUGCAGGGCUCAACUCUGUAUUGCGUUGGAAACUGUAUAACUAGAGUACUGGAGAGGUAAGCGGAACUACAAGUGUAGAGGUGAAAUUCGUAGAUAUUUGUAGGAAUGCCGAUGGGGAAGCCAGCUUACUGGACAGAUACUGACGCUGAAGCGCGAAAGCGUGGGUAGCAAACAGGAUUAGAUACCCUGGUAGUCCGCGCCGUAACGAUGAUUACUAGGUGUUGGGGGUCGAACCUCAGCGCCCAAGCAAACGCGAUAAGUAAUCCGCCUGGGGAGUACGUACGCAAGUAUG
rnacentral:rRNA from 1 species